UACGUAGGGUGCAAGCGUUGUCCGGAAUUAUUGGGCGUAAAGGGCUCGUAGGCGGUCUGUCACGUCGGGAGUGAAAACUCAGGGCUUAACCCUGAGCCUGCUUCCGAUACGGGCAGACUAGAGGUAUUCAGGGGAGAACGGAAUUCCUGGUGUAGCGGUGAAAUGCGCAGAUAUCAGGAGGAACACCGGUGGCGAAGGCGGUUCUCUGGGCCUUACCUGACGCUGAGGAGCGAAAGCGUGGGGAGCAAACAGG
rnacentral:rRNA from 1 species